rnacentral:rRNA from 1 species
AUAUCAGUCAUGCAUAGCAUAUCAAUAAGCGGAGGAAAAGAAACUAACAAGGAUUCCCUUAGUAACGGCGAGUGAAGCGGGAAGAGCUCAAAUUUGAAAUCUUCAAGGUUCUACCUUGACGAAUUGUAGUUUAUAGAAGUGUUUUCUGUUAGUAGAGUGGCAAAAGUUCUUUGGAAUAGGACAUCAUAGAGGGUGAGAAUCCCGUAUUUGGUCAUUCUUUCUAGCUUUGUGAUACACUUUCAACGAGUCGGAUUGUUUGGGAAUGCAGUCCAAAAUGGGUGGUAAAUUUCAUCUGAAGCUAAAUAUUGGCGAGAGACCGAUAGCGAACAAGUACCGUGAGGGAAAGAUGAAAAGAACUUUGAAAAGAGAGUUAAACAGUACGUGAAAUUGUCAAAAGGGAAGCGUUUGACACCAGUGUUGUUUUUCCGAAAAUCAAUUACGAAUGUUUUGUUUUUGAAGAGUUAUGACUUCAUCGGCUUGCUUCCUUUCUUUACUGAAACUUUCUUAAUGCACUUUUCGGUUAACAAGUCAACAUCAAUUUCCUUUGUUGUAAAAGGGUACUGAGGAAGGUGGCUUUCUUUUCGGAGAAAGUGUUUAUAGCCUUGUAGCCUCUGCAAUCGGAGAGAUUGAGGUCUGCAGCGUAGAUCCUUCGGGGUUAGAUACGUUUGUGCUAAGUUAUAGCUUUUCAUAGACAACUUGUUGACUAUGUUUAGUCUUGUAGCUUACUCGCUGACGCUAUUUUACCUACGCUUAGGAUGUUGAUCUCUCACAGUCGAGC